rnacentral:rRNA from 1 species
GACGAACGCUGGCGGCGUGCCUAAUACAUGCAAGUAGAACGCACAGUUUAUACCUUAGCUUGCUACACCAUAAACUGUGAGUUGCGAACGGGUGAGUAACGCGUAGGUAACCUGCCUGGUAGCGGGGGAUAACUAUUGGAAACGAUAGCUAAUACCGCAUAAUAUUAAUUAUUGCAUGAUAAUUGAUUGAAAGAUGCAAUUGCAUCCCUACCAGAUGGACCUGCGUUGUAUUAGCUAGUAGGUGAGGUAACGGCUCACCUAGGCGACGAUACAUAGCCGACCUGAGAGGAUGGGCGGCCACACUGGGACGGAGACACGGCCCAGACUCCUACAGGAGGGAGCAGUAGGGAAUCUUCGGCAAUGGACGAAAGUCUUAGCGAGCAAGGCCGCGGGAGUGAAGAAGGUUGUCGGAUCGGAAAGCUCGGUUGUAAGAGAAGAACGGGUGUGAGAGUGGAAAGUUCACACUGUGACGGUACCUGAACAGAAAGGGACGGCUAACUACGUG